rnacentral:rRNA from 1 species
GACAGAGGGUGCAAACGUUGUUCGGAAUUACUGGGCGUAAAGCGCGUGUAGGCGGCUAAGUAAGUCGGGCGUGAAAUCCCACGGCUCAACCGUGGAAGUGCACUCGAAACUGCAUAGCUAGAGUCCUGGAGAGGAAGGUGGAAUGCUUGGUGUAGAGGUGAAAUUCGUAGAUAUCAAGCGGAGCACCGGUGGCGAAGGCGGCCUUCUGGACAGUGACUGACGCUGAGACGCGAAAGCGUGGGGAGCAAACAGGG